GCAGCUGAAUGCAGCAGGAGAGCUGUGUGCAGAGCAGGCUGCAGCAGGAGCCAGGGAAUAGGAGGUUCCAGUGGUAAAGUGAGACAUUUCAAUGGAAACAAGUGAAUCUACUGGAGGGUAAAAUCUUUCUUCCCAACUGCAGAAAUAUGGAGACCUUUUUCAAAACAGCCCUAAGAGGGGAGACCUGGACACCACUCACCUCUUCAGGAACCACUGUUGCUGCUUAUAACGUAAAAGACUUGGAGAGACAAAUAGACUGCUUGAGUGAGCUCCACCAUCGUGGCACUCCACCAUCUCCCGGACUUCUUCAAGCUAAUCCUGAAAGAUGUGCUGACCAGAUGGGGACCAAUGGGGGUACCAGAUGAUGUUGCCAUGUCCACUGGCUUUGGAUAAAUCCUGAACACCACUUGCCAUGUGAGACUUUUGUCUCUUUCUGUCCCCAGUGUGUCCUUUUCCUUCCCUACCUUAUUCUCUUUCUUCUCUCUCCCCUGUUUGUCUAAUAAGAGCUUGCCAAGACUGCAUAUUUUAGAACUUUGCAGUAAGCCUGUGACCACAGAGACAAAUAAAAUAAUGCCCUCAACAGCUUGAUGCUGUUAAAAGCAUAGGUGGGGAGUGACUUUUUAAUCUUGGGAGGCUUACGUGAGCACCGGAAAUUUCCUAAUGUGGGGGAGGCCACCAGUGCCUAGACUGUAGUUCCAUACCCCUGCUCUACUCCACCCUUGCUCUGCCUCUUCCCACUCCUGCUCUUCCUCUUCCCCCAUGGCCCUGCCUCUUCCCACCCCUGCUCCAUCUCUUGCCCAGAGGCCCCUCCACCCACCGCUUGCUCCUUUCUGCCUCUUAUAUGCGCCACCCAUAGGUAAGAGUUUGCCAGGGUGGCUGAUAAGACCAUGUGCCAUGAUUCUGUUUUUCCUACAGUGAGGUUGCACGUGUGAGUCAACCUCAGAGACAGAAGGCUCAUUUUCUACAUCUGCUGUUCUUCUCUCCCCUUUUAUGCGUGUUUAUCUUGCUUUGUCAUCUUAGGAAAUGAAAUCAGACUUUAAUAACAACAGUUCCAGCCCAUUUCAACUCACCUCUUCUCUCCCCCACACCCCAAAAGGAAAGUUAUUACCAUCUUUGAUACCAUCGUAAAGACUGUA